rnacentral:rRNA from 1 species
CUACGGGAGGCAGCAGUGGGGAAUUUUCCGCAAUGGGCGAAAGCCUGACGGAGCAAUGCCGCGUGGGGGAUUGACGGCCUAUGGGUUGUAAACCCCUUUUCUCGGAGAAGAAGAAGGUGACGGUAUCUGAGGAAUAAGCGUCGGCUGACUCCGUGCCAGCAGCCGCGGUAAUACGGGGGAUGCAAGCGUUGUCCGGAAUGAUUGGGCGUAAAGGGUCCGUAGGUGGCUGCCCAAGUCCACCGUUCAAUACCAGGGCUCAACCCUGGGGCAGCGGUGGAAACUGGCUGGCUAGAGUGCGGUAGGGGCAGGGGGAAUUCCCGGUGUAGCGGUGAAAUGCGUAGAUCUCGGGAAGAACAACGAUGGCGAAGGCGCCCUGCUGGGCCGUGUUUUGCUUUAUCAUUUUUAUCUUUGAUAAAACGAUAAAGCAACAGACUGACACUGAGGGACGAGAGCUAGGGGAGCGAAUGGGAUUAGAUACGCCAGUAGUC